GACAGCGGAGGCGAGCGUUAUCCGGAGUUAUUGGGCGUAAAGGGUACGUAGGCGGCUGGUCAAGUCUGGGGUUAAAGACCACAGCUUAACUGUGGUGGGGCCUUGGAAACUGACCGGCUGGAGUGGGGCAGGGGUUGCGGGAAUUCCCGGUGUAGCGGUGAAAUGCGUAGAUAUCGGGAAGAACACCUGAGGCGAAAGCGCGCAACUGGGCCCCAACUGACGCUGAGGUACGAAAGCUAGGGGAGCGAAUGGG
rnacentral:rRNA from 1 species